rnacentral:rRNA from 1 species
CCAGACUCCUACGGGAGGCAGCAGUGGGGAAUAUUGGGCAAUGGAGGAAACUCUGACCCAGCAACGCCGCGUGAAGGAUGAAGGUUUUCGGAUUGUAAACUUCUGUUGCGAGGGAUGAAGAAUGACGGUACCUCGUGAGGAAGCCCCGGCAAACUACGUGCCAGCAGCCGCGGUAAUACGUAGGGGGCAAGCGUUGUCCGGAAUGACUGGGCGUAAAGGGAGUGUAGGCGGCCUUUUAAGUUAUAUGUGAAAGCCCCCGGCUUAACCGAGGAACUGCAUAUAAAACUGGAGGGCUGGAGUGCAGGAGAGGUAAGCGGAAUUUCUAGUGUAGCGGUGGAAUGCGUAGAUAUUAGGAAGAACACCGGAGGCGAAGGCGGCUUACUGGACUGUAACUGACGCUGAGGCUCGAAAGCGUGGGGAGCAAACAGGAUUAGAUACCCGAGUA